rnacentral:rRNA from 1 species
UACGCAGGGCGCAAGCGUUGUCCGGAAUUAUUGGGCGUAAAGAGCUCGUAGGCGGCUUGUCACGUCGGGUGUGAAAGCCCGGGGCUUAACCCCGGGUCUGCAUUCGAUACGGGCUGGCUAGAGUGUGGUAGGGGAGAUCGGAAUUCCUGGUGUAGCGGUGAAAUGCGCAGAUAUCAGGAGGAACACCGAUGGCGAAGGCAGGUCUCUGGGCGUUAACUGACGCUGAGGAGCGAAAGCAUGGGGAGCGAACAGG